rnacentral:rRNA from 1 species
AUGCCCUACAUACCAGCUGACGUCACAAACCUAAAGGCAAAGUACCGUAGAGAGAGCAAGUUGGCUGACAUAGAGGCCACAAUGGCCUACUUCAAUGAGAAAGCAAAGGAAGAUCCAGAUUUCUUCUAUAGGAUAAGGUUGGACGAUGAGGACCGUGUCAUGAACAUGUAUUGGGUGGAUGAUGCUGCAAGGAGAGCCUACAAACAUUUCCGAGAUUGCAUUUCAUUCGACGCGACGUAUCUCACUAAUAUGUACAAGAUGCCAUGCGCUCCAUUCAUAGGAAUAAAUAACCACAAUCAGUCGUUGCAGUUCGGAUGCGGGCUCGUUCGGAACGAAGACACGAAUGGGUACGUUUGGUUGUUCAAGACCUUCUUGGAGUGCAUGGAUGGACUUGCUCCGAUGAACAUAAUAACAGACCAGGAUUUUAGCAUGCGUGCAGGCAUAGAGGAGGUCUUUCCGUUGACAGUGCACAGGCACUGCAGGUGGCACAUUAUAAAGAAGGCUGAGGAGACGCUAGGACCGUUCUUUGCUGACCGUCCAGAGCUGCACAAGGCAUUCGAGCUGUGCGUGGACCACAGCUUGACGGUGGAGGAGUUUGAAAGGAGCUGGAAGGCCAUGAUUGAAACAUAUCAAGUCCCAGAUAACGAGACCCUUGCUAGCCUGUGGGAGAAGCGAAUGUACUGGGUGCCGGCCUACUUCAUGCAGUGCUUCUUCCCGUUUCUGCAGACUACGCAGCGCAGCGAGGUGUUCAAUGCUGUUUUGAAGCGGUACGUGAGCCCUGGCAACUCAUUGCUACAGUUUGCCAAGUAG